UGGGGAAUAUUGGACAAUGGGCGAAAGCCUGAUCCAGCCAUGCCGCAUGGGUGAAGAAGGCCUUUGGGUUGUAAAGCUCUUUUAGUGAGGAAGAUAAUGACGGUACUCACAGAAGAAGUCCUGGCUAACUCCGUGCCAGCAGCCGCGGUAAUACGGAGAGGGCUAGCGUUAUUCGGAAUUAUUGGGCGUAAAGGGCGCGUAGGCUGGUUAAUAAGUUAAAAGUGAAAUCCCGAGGCUUAACCUUGGAAUUGCUUUUAAAACUAUUAAUCUAGAGAUUGAAAGAGGAUAGAGGAAUUCCUGAUGUAGAGGUAAAAUUCGUAAAUAUUAGGAGGAACACCAGUGGCGAAGGCGUCUAUCUGGUUCAAAUCUGACGCUGAAGCGCGAAGGCGUGGGGAGCAAACA
rnacentral:rRNA from 1 species